AGCAGUGUGGCUUAGUGGUGAGAGCACAUGUCUGGGAGUCAAGAGGCCCUGGGUUCUAAUCCCCGCUCUGCCC
rnacentral:tRNA from 1 species